CAGCAGCCGCGGUAAUACGUAGGUGGCAAGCGUUGUCCGGAAUUAUUGGGCGUAAAGGGCUCGCAGGCGGUUUCUUAAGUCUGAUGUGAAAGCCCCCGGCUCAACCGGGGAGGGUCAUUGGAAACUGGGAAACUUGAGUGCAGAAGAGGAGAGUGGGAUUCCACGUGUAGCGGUGAAAUGCGUAGAGAUGUGGAGGAACACCAGUGGCGAAGGCGACUCUCUGGUCUGUAACUGACGCUGAGGAGCGAAAGCGUGGGGAGCGAACAGGAUUAGAUACCCGAGUAGUCCCUGUCUCUUAUAC
rnacentral:rRNA from 1 species